GGACUCGUAGUGUAGCAGUUAACACAUCCGCCUGUCACGCGGAAGAUCGCCGGUGCGAAUCCGGUCGGGUCCGCAA
rnacentral:tRNA from 1 species